CUUGGUCAUUUAGAGGAAGUAAAAGUCGUAACAAGGUCUCCGUUGGUGAACCAGCGGAGGGAUCAUUACCGAGUUUACAACUCCCAAACCCCUGUGAACAUACCACUUGUUGCCUCGGCGGAUCAGCCCGCUCCCGGUAAAACGGGACGGCCCGCCAGAGGACCCCUAAACUCUGUUUCUAUAUGUAACUUCUGAGUAAAACCAUAAAUAAAUCAAAACUUUCAACAACGGAUCUCUUGGUUCUGGCAUCGAUGAAGAACGCAGCAAAAUGCGAUAAGUAAUGUGAAUUGCAGAAUUCAGUGAAUCAUCGAAUCUUUGAACGCACAUUGCGCCCGCCAGUAUUCUGGCGGGCAUGCCUGUUCGAGCGUCAUUUCAACCCUCAAGCACAGCUUGGUGUUGGGACUCGCGUUAAUUCGCGUUCCUCAAAUUGAUUGGCGGUCACGUCGAGCUUCCAUAGCGUAGUAGUAAAACCCUCAUUACUGGUAAUCGUCGCGGCCACGCCGUUAAACCCCAACUUCUGAAUGUUGACCUCGGAUCAGGUAGGAAUACCCGCUGAACUUAAGCAUAUCAAUAAGCGGAGGA
rnacentral:rRNA from 1 species